rnacentral:rRNA from 1 species
GUGCCAGCAGCCGCGGUAAGACGAACCGUGCGAACGUUGUUCGGAAUCACUGGGCUUAAAGGGCGCGUAGGCGGACUGCCAAGUCCGGGGUGAAAUCCUCCAGCUCAACUGGAGAACGGCCCCGGAUACUGGCGGUCUCGAGGAGGGUAGGGGCAAGCGGAACUAUGGGUGGAGCGGUGAAAUGCGUUGAUAUCCAUAGGAACUCCGGUGGCGAAGGCGGCUUGCUGGACCCUUUCUGACGCUGAGGCGCGAAAGCCAGGGGAGCAAACGGGAUUAGAAACCCGUGUAGUCC